UGUGAAAAAUUUCAUCCAUUUGUACUGUUUAAAACUGGUGUGACUGACGGAAUAUCCAGAAAAUGUCAAGUGUAUCUUACACUGAUGUAUAAGAACUAGUUUUUAAGAGUAGAAGUGAUGAAAUUUUUAACA
rfam:Gossypium raimondii Chr01_contig_1298, whole genome shotgun sequence.